rnacentral:rRNA from 1 species
GACGGUACCCUUAUAAGAAGCACCGGCUAACUACGUGCCAGCAGCCGCGGUAAUACGUAGGGUGCGAGCGUUAAUCGGAAUUACUGGGCGUAAAGCGUGCGCAGGCGGUUUGUUAAGUCAGAUGUGAAAUCCCCGGGCUCAACCUGGGAACUGCGUUUGAAACUGCCAGACUAGAGUAUGUUAGAGGGGGGUGGAAUUUCACGUGUAGCGGUGAAAUGCGUAGAGAUGUGGAGGAACACCAAUGGCGAAGGCGGCCCCCUGGGAUAAUAUUGACGCUCAGGCACGAAAGCGUGGGGAGCAAACAGGAUUAG